rnacentral:lncRNA from 1 species
UGGUGGCGCUGAUGAUGAUGAUGAUGAUGGUGAUGAUGAGGAUGGUUCCGGUUCUGAGGCCGGUAGUGAAGAGAGUUCUGAGUCCUAUGAGGACUAAGUUUUAUUUUUCAUGUUAUGUUUUAUAUGAUGAUGAUGAUGAUGAUGGUGAUGAUGAGGAUGGUUCCGGUUCUGAGGCCGGUAGUGAAGAGAGUUCUGAGUCCUAUGAGGACUAAGUUUUAUUUUUCAUGUUAUGUUUUAUUUUAUUGUAUUUUUAGAUAUGUAGUAUUUUGGUUUUGGUUAUGUACUUUUUGGGGUGUUUUGUCCCCCACGCACAUUUUUAACAUUUUGAAGUGAUGAUUGUGUUUAUGUUUUAAAUUAUUGUGUUUGGUUUGAA